AUUGAACGCUGGCGGCAUGCCUUACACAUGCAAGUCGAACGGUAACGCGGGGCAACCUGGCGACGAGUGGCGAACGGGUGAGUAAUGCAUCGGAACGUGCCCAGUAGUGGGGGAUAGCCCGGCGAAAGCCGGAUUAAUACCGCAUACGACCUACGGGUGAAAGCGGGGGACCGUAAGGCCUCGCGCUAUUGGAGCGGCCGAUGUCAGAUUAGGUAGUUGGUGGGGUAAAGGCCUACCAAGCCUACGAUCUGUAGCUGGUCUGAGAGGACGACCAGCCACACUGGGACUGAGACACGGCCCAGACUCCUACGGGAGGCAGCAGUGGGGAAUUUUGGACAAUGGGCGCAAGCCUGAUCCAGCCAUGCCGCGUGCGGGACGAAGGCC
rnacentral:rRNA from 1 species